CCUCCCCUGUAUCCCACACAGGGCCCCUUCAACACCCCAAUCCCAGUCCCGUGGGCUCCCCAGUUCCCCCCAGUUCAGCAUCUUUGGGUCCCCUCCUACUCCCCCCACCCUCCCUGCAGGCCCUGAAUUCCCCUGGCUCUCCUUGUCUCCAUCCCCACCCUGGGCCCUGCAGGCACAGGGGUUGGAGGUGAAACUGGGUGCAGUGGGAGCAGGGGGAGCAGAAGGGAUUUUCCCCCUCAGACGGGGGCAGCCCUGGGCUGGGGGGGCUGGGGACACCCGUGUCCCUCCCCCAGCCCCACAGGGGCCAAUCCUGCUUAACCCUUUGCUCUCCUUGCCCAGGCACUCUUGGCAGGAACCCAAAAUGAUCUGCGGGAGGUGAGUGGGCCGGGGGGACUGGAGGGCAUCCAGUCUGGGAACUGGGGGACACUUUGGUCCCCCCAUCCAUCGCUGGCACCAGGGACAUCCCAGUGACCAGCCAGGGCUCCUGGUCUCUCUCCAGCUGCAUUUAGUGGACGUUGGGAUCCUGAAGAUGGCUCAGGCUCCCAAUACAUCCCACUGCACCCAGUGUGUCUCUGAGCCUGUCUUUGUCCCCAGCCCCCUGUGGUUGAGGAGGUGGUGGGUCUUGUUGGUGAGAAAGGCGUGGCUGCAUCCCUGGAUGUCUGAGGACUGGUGGUGACACCCGUGCCCUGUCCCCCUCCAGUGGCAUGAGGAGAUGAUCAUCCCUGGAAGAACCCCCUGAUUUCCCUCAGAGCCCAGGGGCAUUUUCCCUGAAUGAUCAAUAAAUCUC